UUGCAUUUAUAAAUACUUAGAAACACUGUUAUUGUUUCUAAGCUAACUUGGUCUAGUUCUAUUCUAUGAUUUGGAUGAGGCCAGUUUCGUGCCAACUGAAGCAUCAGAGUUUUUAGUUUCUUCUAGAAGUUUUUCAUUGGUUUCUUUGAGCUCCUAAACCUCAUUUUUUAGCUGGUUCAGAACUCUAACAGCAUCAUCUAGUAGGGCAUGGUUUUUU